rnacentral:rRNA from 1 species
GUUCACUGUAUGCUAGUACGGCGAGUGAGCGGCAACAGCUCAAAUUUGAAAGCUGGCUCCGGCCCGCGUUGUAAUUUGCAGAGGAUGCUUCUGGCGAGGUGCCUUCCGAGUUCCCUGGAACGGGACGCCAUAGAGGGUGAGAGCCCCGUAUGGAUGGACACCAAACCUGUGUGAAGCUCCUUCAACGAGUCGAGUAGUUUGGGAAUGCUGCUCUAAAUGGGAGGUAAAUCUCUUCUAAAGCUAAAUACCGGCCAGAGACCGAUAGCGCACAAGUAGAGUGAUCGAAAGAUGAAAAGCACCUUGAAAAGGGGGUUAAACAGUACGUGAAAUUGUUGAAAGGGAAGCGCUUGUGACCAGACUUGCGCCGGGCAGCUCAUCAGGGGUUCUCCCCUGUGCACUCUGCCCGGCUCAGGCCAGCAUCGGUUCUCGUGGGAGGAUAAGAACGGUAGGAACGUGGCCCCCCUCCGGGGGGGUGUUAUAGCCUGCCGUACGAUACUCCCGUGGGGACCGAGGUUCGCGCUCCGCAAGGAUGCUGGCGUAAUGGUCAUCAGCGACCCGUCUUGAACCCCCGGACCA